rnacentral:rRNA from 1 species
GACGAACGCUGGCGGNAUGCCUAAUACAUGCAAGUCGAACGCUGAAACACUCUGCUUGCAGAGUGUGGAUGAGUGGCGAACGGGUGAGUAACACGUGGGGAACCUGCCCAUAAGAGGGGGAUAACAUCCGGAAACGGGUGCUAAUACCGCAUAGGUGAUCAUAGCGCAUGCUUAGAUCAUUAAAGAUGGCUUCGGCUAUCGCUUAUGGAUGGCCCCGCGGCGUAUUAGCUAGUUGGUGAGGUAAUGGCUCACCAAGGCUGUGAUACGUAGCCGACCUGAGAGGGUGAUCGGCCACACUGGAACUGAGACACGGUCCAGACUCCUACGGGAGGCAGCAGUAGGGAAUCUUCCACAAUGGGCGAAAGCCUGAUGGAGCAAUACCGCGUGAGUGAAGAAGGUCUUCGGAUCGUAAAGCUCUGUUGUUAGAGAAGAACAAGAGGUGUAGUAACUGGCACCUCCUUGACGGUAUCUAACCAGAAAGUCACGGCUAACUACGUGCCAGCAGCCGCGGUAAUACGUAGGUGACAAGCGUUGUCCGGAUUUAUUGGGCGUAAAGCGAGCGCAGGCGGUCUUUUAAGUCUGAUGUGAAAGCCCACGGCUCAACCGUGGAGGGUCAUUGGAAACUGGAAGACUUGAAUGCAGAAGAGGAAAGUGGAAUUCCAUGUGUAGCGGUGAAAUGCGUAGAUAUAUGGAGGAACACCAGUGGCGAAGGCGACUUUCUGGUCUGUAAUUGACGCUGAGGCUCGAAAGCGUGGGGAGCGAACAGGAUUAGAUACCCUGGUAGUCCACGCCGUAAACGAUGAGUGCUAAGUGUUGGAGGGUUUCCGCCCUUCAGUGCUGGAGCUAACGCAUUAAGCACUCCGCCU